GUCUGUUCUUAAGUAAGGUAGUGUUGUGUUUACGGGAGUGAUUGUUGAGUAAUUUGUUAUUUACGCCGGCAUAAUAUGUGUAUCUAUUGAAAAGAUUUCUUUUUCUAUUUCAAACAAAACUUUUCGCAAAUUUCUUAAAACCGCAUUACUUAAAAUUUAGUGAAUUAAUUUUGUUUCUAAUAUAAUUAAAUGUCAAGAAAUGAGUUGAAAAACGAACGUUAAAUCAGAUACAAGUAAAGCUUUUCGAUGCCCGAUGGGAACAUUGCUUGUGUGUUAUCCAAGGAAGUUAGUAAACGAGCUAAUAAAGACGCGAAAAAUUAAAGAAAGAUUUUGUAGACAAUAAUAAUAAUAAGAAAAUGAUUAAAUUAAGUUUUAUAUUAUUGCUAUGAUAUAUUAAAGGUGUAUAAUAUAUGAUAAAAAUGUAUUCUGUAUGCGCUUUCAAGAAGAGACAAAAUAAAGGGAAUCAAAGGGAUCACGUGACAGCGCACACAUUUGUAUAUCUAUCAAAGACCAAAUCGUUUGAUUUCAAAGAAAAAUUUUAUAUUUAUCAUCGGUAUGCAUAUAUCUGGUUGAACGUGUGGUUGUUUGCCGUCAUAGUGGCCGCGUUUGACAAUUCAUUGUACUGGCGGUGGUGCAGGCUGCAGAUUUUAGUUCACAGGAAUCAUGUAAGUUAAAAACGCAAGGGAAGCCCUAAAACAAUAACAAUUUACGGCAGGAAUAACGUGAGUUCUUUCCUGGAAUAUGUAAGGAUUUGCUUGCCUAUAUAUACGUCAUUAUACUUCGCAAGGCGUGUGCAUUCGUACCUACACUUGCGCUGAACUACGCUGCCGUGGUCCGUAGAUGUUUGUGCUGUGUUUUUAUGCUACAAAUUGAAUGAAGAAAUUUGUGAACACCCAUCAUGGGCUUACUAAUACAUAUGCGUGUCUAUGAAUGCAUCAAUUGUAUACUUAUCCAGGCAUAUGCGGCAGCCGUUUUCAGCCAGAACAACUUUCCGGACCAUCCCGAAAUCAACUAAAACAACAACCCUUUGCCGUACACAUCGGCCAAGAUCCGUGGAUACCAAUCAUCAGUGCAAAAUUGAAAACAAUAGAGGAUCAUGACAAUAUGCCGUGGGUAAGGAAGGAGACAAUGGCAUCGAGUUCACGCUUCUCACUAAUGUAUGUAUGAAUGCGGUUAACAUGUCAGUAGACGUUAAGGCGCCAUGAGAGUUCAUAUAUGACGUACAUAUGCAUAUAUAUGCCACACAUACGUGGAGGGUAUAGCAAAUGUAUACAUAUAUAUACACACAAGUACAAAAGAAAAAAUCCGUCAUGGAAGCAAAGCACAGAAAUUUAUUUUUUCUCUACUUUUUUGUACAAAAAUAUAAACACAAUUUAACAAAAUUUAUAUGUAAGAUUCACGAUAUAACCCGCAAGAGCGUGGAAAAGUGUUACGUGUGAAACAAUUGCAAAAAAAAAAAAAAAAAA